UGCAGUCGAGCGGGCGUAGCAAUACGUCAGCGGCAGACGGGUGAGUAACGCGUGGGAACAUACCUUUUGGUUCGGAACAACACAGGGAAACUUGUGCUAAUACCGGAUAAGCCCUUACGGGGAAAGAUUUAUCGCCGAAAGAUUGGCCCGCGUCUGAUUAGCUAGUUGGUGAGGUAAUGGCUCACCAAGGCGACGAUCAGUAGCUGGUCUGAGAGGAUGAUCAGCCACAUUGGGACUGAGACACGGCCCAAACUCCUACGGGAGGCAGCAGUGGGGAAUAUUGGACAAUGGGCGCAAGCCUGAUCCAGCCAUGCCGCGUGAGUGAUGAAGGCCCUAGGGUUGUAAAGCUCUUUUGUGCGGGAAGAUAAUGACGGUACCGCAAGAAUAAGCCCCGGCUAACUUCGUGCCAGCAGCCGCGGUAAUACGAAGGGGGCUAGCGUUGCUCGGAAUCACUGGGCGUAAAGGGUGCGUAGGCGGGUCUUUAAGUCAGGGGUGAAAUCCUGGAGCUCAACUCCAGAACUGCCUUUGAUACUGAGGAUCUUGAGUUCGGGAGAGGUGAGUGGAACUGCGAGUGUANAGGUGAAAUUCGUAGAUAUUCGCAAGAACACCAGUGGCGAANGCGGCUCACUGGCCCGAUACUGACGCUGANGCACNAAAGCGUGGGGAGCAAACANGAUUANAUACCCUGGUANUCCACGCCGUAAACGAUGAAUGCCNGCCGUUAGUGGGUUUACUCACUANUGGCGCAGCU
rnacentral:rRNA from 1 species